rnacentral:rRNA from 1 species
UACGAAGGGGGCUAGCGUUGUUCGGAAUUACUGGGCGUAAAGCGCACGUAGGCGGUUCUGUAAGUAGGGGGUGAAAUCCCCGGGCUCAACCCGGGAACUGCCUUCUAGACUGCAGACCUUGAGAUCAGGAGAGGCGAGCGGAAUUCCGAGUGUAGAGGUGAAAUUCGUAGAUAUUCGGAGGAACACCAGUGGCGAAGGCGGCUCGCUGGACUGAUACUGACGCUGAGGUGCGAAAGCGUGGGGAGCAAACAGG